rnacentral:rRNA from 1 species
UACGUAGGGUGCAAGCGUUGUCCGGAAUUAUUGGGCGUAAAGAGCUCGUAGGCGGUCUGUCGCGUCGGCUGUGAAAACUCGGGGCUCAACUCCGAGCUUGCAGUCGAUACGGGCAGGCUAGAGUUCGGCAGGGGGAGACUGGAAUUCCUGGUGUAGCGGUGAAAUGCGCAGAUAAUCAGGAGGAACACCGGUGGCGAAGGCGGGUCUCUGGGCCGAUACUGACGCUGAGGAGCGAAAGCGUGGGGAGCGAACAGG